UUUACGUCCAACUUGAAUGUAGUAUGGACUCUGAAAAUUAAAAAAUUAUAUCUCAGUAAUAAAAUAAGACUUUAAAAAUUGAAUCUGAAAAAAAUAUCCCUUACUUCAAGUGAACAUGAGGAAAGAGAAUUUUCUUGUAGAUCUGUCAACAUUGCAAGUAAUUUUCAUUUUCAAAACACUAAGCUUUGCAUUCAUUAGCUUCUGUGUAUUGGCUGAUAAAUUAUUGCAGCUACUAUAAUGGUAACCCAAUCGAAGGUUCAUGAAGUAUUUUCAUUAUUACAAAAGACCUAACUAACUGUGAUUUACCUCAGAGUAACUGUAUAAAGUAACUGACUCAUCUAGUUUCUUUCGGGUUUGGAUAAAUUAAGUCAGCACAGAUAAAGGAAAUAUGGCCAAGGUCAUAAUAGCUGGAAGGGUAGACACAGCGUGCAGAACUUUCUCUUCUGCGGCCCAUUGCCUGUACGCAAAAUAAUAUCCUAGAGUACUAAAAUGAUCAACGUGUUGUUUGCUUUGAAGGAAAUUUUAAGAAAAAUUAUACCUACAACAACCUCCCAUUUUUAAAGAAUUUCAUGAAUACAUAUUUGCACAAAAAGAGCCAGAGAUCUUUUUGUGUAUCAGGCUGAUAAUAGGUCAUCAUCUAGUUAUUCUAAAGAAUGAGAGAGCAGAGUGAAGGUUUUAUAUUUUAUUUUGAGUAUAUUAUUCAUAUAAUUUACAACUAUUUAUUUAAAAUAAAACUUAAAGACAAAAUGAUUAGUAGCUGGCAAAGUAGAUGAAAAAGCAUAAUAUGUUGUGGGUUUCUGCUAAUUAAUGUACUUAUUUUGUAAUUGCUACUUUAUAUGGCUAUAAAGAUAAUUACAAACUAUUUGCUUUUAUAAUACUGUUGUUCACACCUUUGAUGUUCAUGUUAGGUCAGGGGUAAAGUCUUCUUUUUUUUCAUUGUUUUUUGGGUGAGGAAAAUGUGUUAUUUUCAGAAACAAAGGUUAAAAAAAAGUAUAAGGCAGUGAUAGCAAAUCUUACAGAGUUUAUAGUGAUACAGACAGCCCCCUGUAGCACAUGUACCACAGGUUUUUAGCACUACUAGUAUAAGAUGCACAUCUGAAUUCAAGGUUUAUUAAUGUAUUGUUGCAUAUCCUUAUUUUUAAAAUUACAAUUCAUGUAUAAAAUAUCAGCUUUGAUACUAUUAGUCACGAAACUGUGCAUCUAUGUUAAGAUGAAUUUAUGAAGCUUUAACUGAUAUCCUCAUUUGUAAAAUUCUGUCCCUUUAUCAUUAUUUGAGCAGUUUGCAGAAAGAAUGUAGAGAAAGAUCUGUUUUCCCAAAAGAGUUCCCUUUUUUUUUUUUUUUUUCAAAGUCAGCUUAUUUUGCUCACCAACUACAAAAGUAAGCAGCUGUGUCUUUAAGGAAACCCAAACCAGGGUUACAGAGUCUUUAGGGAGAUGGGAAGACAGCGGCAUAGCAUCCCCCUUCUUUACUUGGAGCAGUAAGGACUGGCUGUGGGAAUGCUGUAAACCUGAUGUUAUCCAUAUUCCUAUUGUUAAAUAAGGAACCUAAAAUGCCGGUAAGAGAAAAAUUUGUUUAAAACAUAAAAUCAGGUGCUGCUUGAAAGUAUUCCAGAUAAUACGACCAGGGUCUCCCUCUGAAUACAUGCUGCUCUCUGUUCACACUAGUUUGCACUAGUUUAAUUGAUGAGAACCCUCAGAAAAUCAAUAUCUCUAUGAUGAUACCUGGCAUGCCAUCUAAUUUAAUAAGUUUAUUUACUUACUUAGCAUUCCUGCAUUGGAAAUAAGACACAUUGUUCUUACAUAUCGAAUUAUAUCUUCUGUUUGUGUCUGAGUAUCUCAGUAAUCUUACUGAGCCAUUCUUGGCAAAACUUGGGCAGUAUUUUAAUAAAUUUUCAUAAUAUGAAUGAAUUUUCUAUUGAUGUUAUUGUUAAAGGGCUUUAAAAUUAAGAAUGAGUCUUUAUUGUGUAAGCACCUUUAUGUGUAUUUAUUAAUGUAGACCAUAAUUUGGUGUACAGGUGCUCCUUCGCUUAGGAUGGGGUCGUACCCUUCCCUAAACGUACCUUAAGUUGAAAAUGUAAGUAGAAAAUGUCGUCCAUACGCUGGACCCACAAACAUCAGGGCGGCAGCAGUGCAGGGUGUCAGUUGUUCACCCCCGCAGUCGUGAGACCCGCCUCGAGCCGCCCCUCAGUGCCGCUGCCAAGCAUCAGGAGACGAAAUGGACGCUUAGCAGAAAUUACCUGAAGCCUUCAUUUACCCUGCAGCCUAGGCCUUUCACUCCCCACAGGUGUGAAAGAGCAAGGUCCGGGACGUCUGCCUGCAUGACGUACUGACUCGGCUGUGGUCAGCUGUUUUGAAUUCAUGACAUUUUUCAAGUUCUUGAAUUUAUGUUUGCUGUUGCAUCUCCUGCUUUCCCUGGCCCAAAGAGUGGAGAGAAAAGUGCCGCUUCAGAGCCCCGCGUCGUUUUGGUUUUAAGUGUGGUUGGACAUGUCGUUCUGUUUGCCUUUUUGGAGAAAUAAAAGCGUGGUUCUCAAUGUG